rnacentral:rRNA from 1 species
GAUGAACGCUAGCUACAGGCUUAACACAUGCAAGUCGAGGGGCAGCAGGGAUUUAGCUUGCUAAAUCCGCUGGCGACCGGCGCACGGGUGCGUAACGCGUAUCCAACUUUCCCGUUACUCAGGGAUAGCCUUCCGAAAGGGAGAUUAAUACCUGAUGGUGUUUGAAGUUCGCAUGUUCUUCAAACUAAAGAUUUAUCGGUAACGGAUAGGGAUGCGUGACAUUAGAUAGUAGGCGGGGUAACGGCCCACCUAGUCUACGAUGUCUAGGGGUUCUGAGAGGAAGGUCCCCCACACUGGAACUGAGACACGGUCCAGACUCCUACGGGAGGCAGCAGUGAGGAAUAUUGGUCAAUGGUCGAGAGACUGAACCAGCCAUGCCGCGUGAAGGUCACGGCCCUAUGGGGUCUUAAACUUCUUUUGUAAGGGAGCAAUAAGGUGUACGUGUACAUCGAUGAGAGUACCUUACGAAUAAGCAUCGGCUAACUCCGUG